rnacentral:rRNA from 1 species
UUUGAUCAUGGCUCAGGAUGAACGCUAGCGGCAGGCUUAAUACAUGCAAGUCGAGGGGCAGCAGGGUGUAGCAAUACAUCGCUGGCGACCGGCAAACGGGUGCGGAACACGUACGCAACCUACCCAAAACUGAUGAAUAGCCCUCCGAAAGGAGGAUUAAUACAUCGUAACAUAAUGAAGUGGCAUCGCUUUAUUAUUAUAGCUCCGGCGGUUUUGGAUGGGCGUGCGCCUGAUUAGGUAGUUGGCGGGGUAACGGCCCACCAAGCCUGCGAUCAGUAACUGGUGUGAGAGCACGACCAGUCACACGGGCACUGAGACACGGGCCCGACUCCUACGGGAGGCAGCAGUAAGGAAUAUUGGUCAAUGGACGCAAGUCUGAACCAGCCAUGCCGCGUGAAGGAUGAAGGUCCUCUGGAUUGUAAACUUCUUUUAUCUGGGACGAAACCUCUUUUUCUAAAGAGACUGACGGUACCAGAGGAAUAAGCACCGGCUAACUCCGUGCCAGCAGCCGCGGUAAUACGGAGGGUGCAAGCGUUAUCCGGAUUCACUGGGUUUAAAGGGAGCGUAGGAGGGCAGGUAAGUCAGUGGUGAAAUCUUCGAGCUUAACUCGGAAACUGCCGUUGAUACUAUCUGUCUUGAAUACCGUGGAGAUGAGCGGAAUAUGUCAUGUAGCGGUGAAAUGCUUAGAUAUGACAUAGAACACCAAUUGCGAAGGCAGCUCGUUACACGAAUAUUGACUCUGAGGCUCGAAAGCGUGGGGAUCAAACAGGAUUAGAUACCCUGGUAGUCCACGCCCUAAACGAUGGAUACUCGACAUACGCGAUACACUGUGUGUGUCUGAGCGAAAGCAUUAAGUAUCCCACCUGGGAAGUACGACCGCAAGUUGAAACUCAAGGAUUGGCGGGGGUCCGCACAAGCGGUGGAGCAUGUGGUUUAAUUCGAUGAUA